rnacentral:rRNA from 1 species
GGACUACCAGGGUAUCUAAUCCCGUUCGCUCCCCCAGCUUUCGCGCCUCAGCGUCAAGAAAGCUCCAGAAGACCGCCUUCGCCACUGGUGUUCCUACCGAUAUCUACGCAUUUCACCGCUACACCGGUAAUUCCAUCUUCCCCUGGCCUCUUCAAGACUGGCAGUAUCCACCGACCCUCCGGGGUUGAGCCCCGGGCUUUCACGGCAGACUUACCAACCCGCCUACGCGCCCUUUACGCCCAGUAACUUCGGACAACGCUCGCCCCCUCCGUAUUACCGCGGCUGCUGGCAC